rnacentral:rRNA from 1 species
UGGGGAAUAUUGCACAAUGGGCGCAAGCCUGAUGCAGCCAUGCCGCGUGUGUGAAGAAGGCCUUCGGGUUGUAAAGCACUUUCAGCGGGGAGGAAGGCGAUAAGGUUAAUAACCUUGUCGAUUGACGUUACCCGCAGAAGAAGCACCGGCUAACUCCGUGCCAGCAGCCGCGGUAAUACGGAGGGUGCAAGCGUUAAUCGGAAUUACUGGGCGUAAAGCGCACGCAGGCGGUCUGUCAAGUCGGAUGUGAAAUCCCCGGGCUCAACCUGGGAACUGCAUUCGAAACUGGCAGGCUAGAGUCUUGUAGAGGGGGGUAGAAUUCCAGGUGUAGCGGUGGAAUGCGUAGAGAUCUGGAGGAAUACCGGUGGCGAGGGCGGCCCCCUGGACAAAGACUGACGCUCAGGUGCGAAAGCGUGGGGAGCAAACAGG